UUUGAUGGUAAUAUUAUUACGGGCAUACAACGCUGUAGUUACGUUACUAGUGUAACGCGGUCCUACUAGUGUGUAGCACUUCUCUGACUAACUCUAGGUCACUGCAUAAAACACUUGUGGAACACGUUAACCGCUGGGGAUUCCUUUGGACCAGAAUCAGAAGAUAAGGAUCGUCUCACAGGAGCAAAGGUACGAGAGGAUGGAAUGGCUCGCCAGUCCCGACCGGAAUGCGAAUAUUCAGCAAGGACAGGAUUCAGGAACACAAUUCUCACAAAGAAAAAAAAACCCAGCCUUGUAACAACAAAGCCAAAAUGAAACAUUAAUGUCAUUGUCCAAAUAAAUCAUUUCAAAUUAAA